rnacentral:rRNA from 1 species
GUAGGUGGCAAGCGUUGUCCGGAUUUAUUGGGCGUAAAGCGAGCGCAGGCGGAAGAAUAAGUCUGAUGUGAAAGCCCUCGGCUUAACCGAGGAACUGCAUCGGAAACUGUUUUUCUUGAGUGCAGAAGAGGAGAGUGGAACUCCAUGUGUAGCGGUGGAAUGCGUAGAUAUAUGGAAGAACACCAGUGGCGAAGGCGGCUCUCUGGUCUGCAGCUGACACUGAGGCUCGAAAGCAUGGGUAGCGAACAGGAUUAGAUACCCUGGUAGUCCAUGCCGUAAACGAUGAGUGCUAAGUGUUGGGAGGUUUCCGCCUCUCAGUGCUGCAGCUAACGCAUUAAGCACUCCGCCUGGGGAGUACGACCGCAAGGUUG